GGGACUGUAGCUCAGUAGUAGAGCACUUGCCUAGCACGCGUGAGACACUGGGUUAGAUCCUCAGCACCA
rnacentral:tRNA from 1 species